GUUUUAUAUCUCCCUCUCUUUACCAAUUUUAAACAAAUCUCUCGCUUUACAUCGUGUCUAGACAAUUUCUCUCUCUCCCGGUGGGCUCCUUUGACCCUCAGCUUCACGGAGUCGUCCUCUCCCAAAUGAUCUCAUGGCUGAGCCCAGCUCUUCCAUGCUACAAGAAGACGUCUCCAGCUCAGUUAGACAGCCAGCGGUCUCUCCUUCCCUUGCAUCGUAGCUGCGCAACAGACCACCAUGAGGCUCGAGAUCGCGAUAGCGGUUUAUUUGAGGAGUUAGUCAUAGACAAUGGAUGACGCUAAAUUUUGAUUUCUUAGGAAUAAUGUGGGCUGUAGCUGACAUGUUUUUUGAUGGAAUUUCAUGGAAAAGAAGACUUGAAAUAGGUCUUUUGUGUUCUUUGCUAUGGGGUUAGUUACGGAGACUUCACAAUCUUGUUCACCUAUAACUAGAACAUGUUUUAUAAUAAUCUCUUGGUGUGGAUUUUGGCCAUGUUGAUUUGUGAAAUAUAAUGAGCUUGACACUCUCGUCUUGA